rnacentral:tRNA from 1 species
AAUGAUCGUGCCUGAGAAAAGGAUUAUUUUGAUAGAAUAAAACAUAUAAAUUUCAUAUUUAUCAUCAUUG